GAGCAAACAACAGCAAUGAAGAGAGCACUCAAAGGCGCCCGAAGAGCAAUACAAUAAGUAACAAACAAGAGCAUGGUUGAAGCAUAAAUAGGAUGGCGAAUAAACCGGUACGGACCAAACUGUACGACAGCAGUAGGCACAACCACCUUCUCUGAGUACUUGGCUAAAUACAAUGUGGAAUGAUAUUGCAUAAACAAUGUCAUCGCAAUCAAACCCCAAAUACCCAAAUUGCUCCAUCCACCAGGGAUAAGAUGCAAC
rnacentral:misc_RNA from 1 species